AUACCAGACUCCUACGGGAGGCAGCAGUGGGGAAUAUUGCACAAUGGGGGAAACCCUGAUGCAGCGACGCCGCGUGAGUGAAGAAGUAAUUCGUUAUGUAAAGCUCUAUCAGCAGGGAAGAAAAUGACGGUACCUGAGUAAGAAGCCCCGACUAACUACGUGCCAGCAGCCGCGGUAAUACGUAGGGGGCAAGCGUUAUCCGGAUUCACUGGGUGUAAAGGGAGCGUAGACGGCGACGCAAGUCUGGAGUGAAAGCCCGGGGCCCAACCCCGGGACUGCUCUGGAAACUGCGGCGCUGGAGUACGGGAGGGGCAGGCGGAAUUCCUGGUGUAGCGGUGAAAUGCGUAGAUAUCAGGAGGAACACCGGCGGCGAAGGCGGCCUGCUGGACCGUGACUGACGUUGAGGCUCGAGAGCGUGGGGAGCAAACAGGAUUAGAUACCCCCGUA
rnacentral:rRNA from 1 species